rnacentral:rRNA from 1 species
GACGAACGCUGGCGGCGUGCUUAACACAUGCAAGUCGAACGCUGAAGCCCUUUCGGGGGUGGAUGAGUGGCGAACGGGUGAGUAACACGUGGGUAAACUGCCCUGCACUCUGGGAUAAGCCUUGGAAACGGGGUCUAAUACCGGAUAGGACACAUCGCCGCAUGGUGUGUGUGUGGAAAGUUCCGGCGGUGCAGGUUGAGCCCGCGGCCUAUCAGCUUGUUGGUGGGGUGAUGGCCUACCAAGGCGACGACGGGUAGCCGGCCUGAGAGGGUGACCGGCCACACUGGGACUGAGACACGGCCCAGACUCCUACGGGAGGCAGCAGUGGGGAAUCUUGCGCAAUAGGCGAAAGCCUGACGCAGCAACGCCGCGUGGGGGAUGACGGCCUUCGGGUUGUAAACCUCUUUCGACCGGGACGAAGGGUGACUGACGGUACCGGUAGAAGAAGCACCGGCUAACUACGUGCCAGCCGCCGCGGUAA